rnacentral:rRNA from 1 species
UACGGAGGAUGCAAGCGUUAUCCGGAAUUAUUGGGCGUAAAGCGUCUGUAGGUGGCUGAUCAAGUCUGCUGUCAAAGCGUGGAGCUUAACUCCAUAACGGCAGUGGAAACUGAUGAGCUAGAGUGCGAUAGGGGUAGCAGGAAUUCCCAGUGUAGCGGUGAAAUGCGUAGAGAUUGGGAAGAACACCAGCGGCGAAAGCGUGCUACUGGGUCUGCACUGACACUGAGGGACGAAAGCUAGGGGAGCGAAAGGG